UUUGAGUGUUUUUGUUGUAACUAGUAAUACUAAAUACUGGUCAUACUGGUCAAUAGUUUUUAUGUAAACCAUGAUAAUUAAGCCUUAAUAGACGUCACACUCAUUAGCAUAUUGGAAGUACAAGCCUUCAUAACUUAGAAGUGCAUUAGAAGCAUGGGACAGCUCUGUGCACUCCCACUGCCUUCUUAGUUUUCCUUCCCUGCCCCUGUCUCUGUCCCUGCCCCCACUCCACACACACCGACACCCGAACCGACACCCAACCUCAACUAGCCAUGUGUUAGUUUGUGAUAGGGACUGAAAGGUUGCAGUAAGAUAAUAUUUUACCUUGCCUUGUCGUUCUGAAAGCAGGCCAUUACCUGGCGUAAAAUAAAUUCUUCGAGAUUCAUUGCAGCCAAUCCAUUUCUUGGAUUGGAAGCCAGGCCACCUUGUGCUUUACGCAAAAGUUCAACAUCCCAUACACAGUCAAAGCUCGGGAGAGACCAACCAAAGUCGACAUGGAAAGCUAACGAAUGUUUUUUUUUUCUUUAAUUUCUUCAUCAGCUUUGCAACCUAAAACAAACAAUCGAACUAACGAACGGACGGACGGACGAACGAACAAACGAACGAACAAAAGGAUCAAUUCAUGAAGGGGAAAAAAAAAACAUACUGCACUUGACUAGACAGCUGGUUUCCGUACAAAGAGAAAGACUUGAAAAUCAUUUUUCUACUGGGAAUGGUUCUUUUCCAGACCAGAGAGGAAACGAAGUGUCUUCAUCAAUUGGGUCCAAAAACCAGUUUGAAAAUCUCAAUCAGAUUCAACCUGCUGAGAGGAAAAACAUGUUUUUGAAGACGUUCAAUAAAAGAAGCCCGAUUGGAUGUAAUCAAAGUCGCAGUUUUGGCUGAGAUGGAUACACGUUGUUAAAGAAAAAGUCAAAGAAAGAAAAAAAAAAGAAAGAAUCCAAUGUAUUUGUAACUUUUAAUAACCCACAACAAUUUAGAGACUAUUAAUGCUAACUUGAGACUACUCAAAUAGAUUUGUAUGUGCAAAAUUAAAUUCCAUUAAAUGAAAA